AGUCGUAACAAGGUAUCCGUAGGUGAACCUGCGGAUGGAUCAUUACCAAAGGAAACUUUUUUUCUUUCCAAUGUACUGUGAAUAGUUUUGACUAAUUGUGGGGAGAUAUGGUUGGUUGGUGUGGUGUGGGUGGAUGGGGGGGGCGCAGUAGUGUAGUUAGUGUGUACACACACAGAGACAGCUGCGCGCGCUCUCCAUGCACCACUCUCACCAUUCAUACCUGAUCCCCCCCUAUAUGAAGAACGUAUUUAUUUUCCCAAAACUGAAGUCUGCUUUAGAGAUUGAGAAAAACUAAAGACAACUUUUAGCAACGGAUCUCUUGGCUCUC
rnacentral:misc_RNA from 1 species